AUGCCUCAGCAGCAGCAGCUAGUUGACCAGGAGAUCCAAGCUGGUGACUUUUUGGAGCUGAAUGAUUUGCUUGAACCACUAGAGGAGGAAGUGCCCAUUCCUUUAUUUGCAGAUGGCAGUGAUUUGACUUUAUCUCUUGGUCUGAAUAUUGGAGUGCCCCCUGGGGAAGCUCACCCUGACAGCUCUGUAUUUGGAGGCCCUCCCCCUCAGAAUCUUGAAGAACUUCUAGCUUCUCUGGUCAUCCUAGAUCAACACCCAGAAUUUCAGGCAAAUUUCGACCUUAACUUGCCAAUUCCAGAGCUAGCUGGAGUUGCAGAGGCUCAUGUUCUGGAGCAGACUGCUCUGCAGCCCCACAAUGACAACUUGUUGCAUGAUUGCAACAACUUGUUGCAGUUCAACAGGAAGAUGCCAUUACAGAUAUGCUGCAAGUAG
rnacentral:rRNA from 1 species